UGGCUCAGAUUGAACGCUGGCGGAAUGCUUUACACAUGCAAGUCGAGCGGCAGCGCGGGGCACCUGGCGGCGAGCGGCGAACGGGUGAGUAAUACAUCGGAACAUACCCAGUCGUGGGGGAUAACACUUCGAAAGAAGUGCUAAUACCGCAUACGUCCUGAGGGAGAAAGCGGGGGAUCUUCGGACCUCGCGCGAUUGGAGUGGCCGAUGUCAGAUUAGCUAGUUGGUGGGGUAAAGGCCUACCAAGGCGACGAUCUGUAGCUGGUCUGAGAGGACGACCAGCCACACUGGGACUGAGACACGGCCCAGACUCCUACGGGAGGCAGCAGUGGGGAAUUUUGGACAAUGGGGGCAACCCUGAUCCAGCCAUUCCGCGUGAGUGAAGAAGGCCUUCGGGUUGUAAAGCUCUUUCGGCAGGAACGAAACGGCGCGCUCUAACAUAGCGCGUUAAUGACGGUACCUGAAGAAGAAGCACCGGCUAACUACGUGCCAGCAGCCGCGGUAAUACGUAGGGUGCGAGCGUUAAUCGGAAUUACUGGGCGUAAAGCGUGCGCAGGCGGUU
rnacentral:rRNA from 1 species